UGUGGUAUAAUGAAGAGCAUCCUCUGUGCCUUAUACUUGGUCUGAAACCAUAUUGGUUUUUAGAUCAUAAUAUGUAUUCAUCCAACAAAGUUCUUCUAAAAUGUAUCUAUUAAUAUUACAUUCAGUCGAAAAACCAAAUGAAAGACCUAAUUGAUCAAAAUGUCGAAAAAUUAAAUACAUACUACAAACCUAAUUAUGUAAAAAUCAGAAAAAACU